rnacentral:rRNA from 1 species
GGGUCAGUAGGUUGGUCGUGCCACCGGUACGUACUGGUCUCACUGAUUCCUCCUUCCUGAAGAACCGUAAUGCCAUUAAUUUGGCGUUGCGGGGAAACAGGACUGUUACUUUGAAAAAAUUAGAGUGUUUAAAGCAAGCUAACGCUUGAAUACAUUAGCAUGGAAUAAUGAAAUAGGACGAUCGAUCCUAUUUUGUCGGUUUCUAGGAUUGACGUA